UAGGGAAUCUUCCGCAAUGGGCGAAAGCCUGACGGAGCAACGCCGCGUGAGUGAUGAAGGUCUUCGGAUCGUAAAACUCUGUUAUUAGGGAAGAACAAAUGUGUAAGUAACUAUGCACGUCUUGACGGUACCUAAUCAGAAAGCCACGGCUAACUACGUGCCAGCAGCCGCGGUAAUACGUAGGUGGCAAGCGUUAUCCGGAAUUAUUGGGCGUAAAGCGCGCGUAGGCGGUUUUUUAAGUUUGAUGUGAAAGCCCACGGCUCAACCGUGGAGGGUCAUUGGAAGCUGGAAAACUGGAGUGCAGAAGAGGAAAGUGGAAUUCCAUGUGUAGCGGUGAAAUGCGCAGGGAUAUGGAGGAACACCAGUGGCGAAGGCGACUUUCUGGUCUGUAACUGACGCUGAUGUGCGAAAGCGUGGGGAUCAAACAGG
rnacentral:rRNA from 1 species